rnacentral:lncRNA from 1 species
UACUUUCUCAUGUUUCCAUGACACCAAUGAGCAUUCUUUUCUUUCUUUCAGCCUGAAGAGCUUCCUUUAGGAUUUCUUGUGAGACAAGUCAGCUUUUAUUUGUCUGGAAAAGUCUUUAUCUCACUUUUAUUUGUGAAGAACUGCUUUGGCAGCAGCCGUACCCUCAAGAACUGCACCUUCCAACCACCCUUAUAUGAGCCUGCUCCAAAACCUUGCCAGCCAGCACUUCCAGGUUACGACUAUUGACCUCCAGCUCCCAGUUUCAGAGAGUUCUCCCAGUCUCCUGGAUCACACUGGUCGGAAAGCUGUUUGGUAGACAACCUUCGAGUCUUUCUGCCUUCAUACUGAUAUAUUGUCCAUGAGAUCUUGUCCUGUGAAGUCUUUCCUGGCACAUAGUUACGCAUGCUGUUGCUGACUGUUGACACAUACCAUCGGCUAAGAGCAGUGGCUGGCUUUGAAACAGCUCCACCUUCCCUGAAUACUCUUUCAGCGUCUCUGACGUCUAGGCCAAGUUUGUGUACUUAGCUCCAUGACAGCAUCAAGAUACAAACAACAAGAACUGAUGGAUUUCAGUACAUCUUCUGGGGCUCCUGCCUGUGGGAUACAGCUUGUCUUUGAUGUCUUACCCUCUACAUCCAUGUCUCCUUCCUGUCUGUGCUGUGGACUUCAAACUCCAGCAUCAGACAUGAAGACAACAUCCUGCAGAGAUUGCUUUAAGCAGCUCCCACAGUUAUAACAACAUCAUGGCCCUAUAGCAAAUAUCAUAAAAAUUUUUCCACACCUAUAUUCACAAACAUAAAAUCUUUUAUUGGUUCUGUUUCUCAGUUGAAUCAUGACUGAUACAAUAUGAGAAGCAGUAUAUUAUUAUUUAUAGGUAAGGUGUCAUUAAUUACAGAUGCAUGGGUCAGGCAUAGUGGCUCAUCCCUGUAAUCCAAGCACUUUGAGAUACCAAGGUAGGAGGAUCCCUUGAGGCCAGGAAUUUGAGACCAGCCUGGGUAACAAAGUGAGACUCUGUCUCUACGAAAAACAAUUUUUUAAGGUGCAUAUUAUAAACCUAGGGAACCACUAAAAUAUUUUUAAAAGAAGCAUAAAUGAUAAAAAAACAAAAAAUGGAGAUUAAAUGGAAUCAUUAAAAAUAAUUCAAAAUCAGUUAGAAAAAGAACAAAGAACAAAUAUAACAAAUAAAAACAAGAUAUGAGAUAGUACAUUAAAAUCCAACUGUAUCAGUAGCUGUAUUUAAUUUAAAUGACCUAAACAUACCAACUAAAACACAGAGAUGAUCAAAUUAGAUAAAAAAGCAAGAAUCAACUAUAAUCUAUCUAUAAUAAAUUCACAUUAAAUAUAAAAGUAUACAGGUUAAAAGUAAAAGGAUGAAAAAUAUACCAUAUAUGCCAUGCAAACAGUUGCUCUAUUAGUAUUAGAUAACAGGAAAUUCCAGAACAAAGAAUAUCUUCAGAAAUAAAAAGCCACCACAUAUAGUGUAAAAGGGCCAAUUCAUCAAGAAGAAAAAGACUAAACGUGUAUGCACCUAACAACAGAGCUUUAAAAUGCAUAAAGCAAAACUGAUAGAACAGAAAGAAAAAAUAGACAAACCUACACUUAGAGACUGCAGCAUUCCUCUCUCAGUAAUAGAACAGAUGCACAGAAAAUCAGUAAAAUAUGUAGACUAGAACUACAUUGUUAAGCAACUUGACAAAUUUGGUAUUUAUUGAAUGCUCUAUUCAGCAAUAGCAGAAUACACAUUCUUUUCAAGGGCUCAUGGGACAUUUACCAAGAUACUGGGACAUAAAACAAACCUCAACAAAUUUAAAAGGGUUGAAAUCAUAUGAAGAAUGUUCUGUUACUAUAGUGGAAUCAAACUGGAAAUUAAUAGCAGAAAGAUGUCUGAAAAAUCCUCCAAAUAUUUGGAAAUGAAAUGACUCACUUCUGUACAACCCAUAGGCAAAAAAGAAAGUCACAAGGGAAAUUAAAAUAUAUUUUGAAUGAAAAUGAAACAUCAAAUACAAGAAUUUGGGAGAUGCAGGUAAAGCAGUGCAUAGGGGGAAAUUUAUAUCAUUAAAUGUUUAUACUUGACAAGAAGAAAGUCCUCAAGUUAAUGGUAUA